UUUUUUAACAGUCUAACUCUGGAUUGAUGUUAUUCGGUAUGAUCUAGAAUAAAAAUUAUCACCGGGUAGACAUUAAUCAUGCAGUUAGAGUCUGUAGUCCU
rnacentral:pre_miRNA from 1 species